GGGCCGGGAAGGGUCUGGUCAGCGCCAGGCGGUCCCUGGGGGUCUGUUAGGGCAGAAGGGGCCGGGUUCCCUCUCCUGAUGUUGUAGAAAGCUCCCGCUGAAAACUGUCCGUGAGGACUUGUAACUACUGGACCACGCUCUGUGUCGUUCUUAGAGCGCUAUCGAGCAUAGGUAACUCCUCGUGGUCCCACAAAGAAUGAGCGUCUGCUGAUGAGUUUUCUCUCUUCAGGUAAUCAAAAUGCUCUCUUCUGAUUGUUUGUUUUUGUUUGUUUGUUUGUUUGUUUCCUGACAGGUUGUCUUUGUCUCCUGUCUACUCUUCUAAACUCCUGGGAGUGUGUUCCCUUCCAGGUUGCAAGUUUAAGGAUGUUAGAAGGAAUCUUCAGAAAGAUAUCGGUGAGUCUUCUGACCAGUGCAUAAGUGCCUCUCAUUUCCAUGGAAUGGGUAAGAACAACCCCUAGGUAAACUGAAAGCACAAGUUACUCCUUACAGGUAGAGGCUUUACUUAGCGUUGCUCUUUAUCUAACUUGAGCACGAGGAUCCAGACGCUGCGUAUUUGAAACACAGCUUGACUGAGAAGUAGCGGUGCUUUAUUUGUCCUCUUACAGUGGAUGUUAUAAUGUCCCUGUAUGCGCCAUGAUGUUAUCUCAUCUUCCCAGAGAAAAGUGAGAUUGUGUAAAAAAUAGUGUUAGUAUUCAAGUGUAAAGGCUGGUAGAGACUAAUAGCAAGAAAAUACUGUUGGGACAAUUGUAGCUGGAGAUGCGACAAUUGUUUUUAAGCUAGCAGUAAACAGGACUGUUUAGAGCGGUGAUUUCUAGUGAGGCUUGUCUCAAGGCUGCCUCUGAACUGUGGAAAUUCCUCUCAGGGAUGGGUUACCUGAAGGCACACAUAGGCAAGACUUGCUGGAAGUAAACGCUGCUUAAAGCAAAAGUGAUGAACUAAAGAAGUAUGGGACACAGGAUAUAUUUGUGCUUUGUACCAGAGGAGAACUCUUAAAAUACCGAGUACCGAACCUUAUCGACGCCUACCAACAGCAUGGGAUCUGUGUGCAC